rnacentral:tRNA from 1 species
UAGUCUAAUGGUUAGGACAUUGCCUUUUCACGGCAAAGAUACGAGUUCAAUUCUCUU